rnacentral:lncRNA from 1 species
GGAGGUCGGGCCUGAUGGGACUGAGUCUGGCGUGGAGCUCGGUGAGCUGGAUGACUCUGUGCCGAAAUCUCUGACUCAGCUGCCUGGGGCACAGAUGGUCCAUGAACCUCUCUCUCUCCGUAGAGCUCCUACCUGCUCUCUAAGAUCGCUAAUCUCAGCAGUCAUAAUAUCUAAUCUGCUCGUCAAUCCAUCAGUGAUAGUCCUCGCCUGAGCUGUCAUAAGCUCAGUCAUCCUACUCCAAAACUCAUCUGUG